rnacentral:rRNA from 1 species
UACGUAGGGCGCGAGCGUUGUCCGGAAUUAUUGGGCGUAAAGAGCUUGUAGGCGGCCUGUUGCGUCCGCUGUGAAAGCCCGGGGCUUAACCCCGGGUCUGCAGUGGAUACGGGCAGGCUAGAGGUAGGUAGGGGAGAAUGGAAUUCCCGGUGUAGCGGUGAAAUGCGCAGAUAUCGGGAGGAACACCGGUGGCGAAGGCGGUUCUCUGGGCCUUACCUGACGCUGAGGAGCGAAAGCGUGGGGAGCGAACAGG